ACAUUGAAAACAAAAUUGUGAUAAUCAUCAUGGCUAAGUUUGCUUCCAUCAUCACCCUUAUCUUUGCUGCUCUUGUUCUCUUUGCUGCUUUCGGUACUUGCGUGUUAAUGUUUCCUACCGGAAGAUAUCGAUGGUGUCUACGUGGUUAAUUUGUAAGGUUACCACACUAUUGCACGAUGACCAGAAAACGACCGACACACCACCAUUUCGUUCUAUUUAAAGUUUGAACUUAUGCUUCUUUCCUUACUUCACAAUCAUACAUCGGAAACAAAGAAAUCAUAGUCAUGGCUAAGUUUGCUUCCAUCUUCUCUCUUCUCUUUGCUAUUCUUGUUUUCUUUGCGGCACUCGGUGAGUAAUUAUCUUAUCAUAUGCAUGGCAAAAUGAGAAGCACCAACAAUGGUGGAAGCACAAAAGCUGUGUGAGAGGCCAAGUAUUGGGACUGCGCGAGGAAUUUGUAGUGUCAGUAAUUUUCCGUGCAGGGAUCAUUGCAUCCGAGUUGAGAAAGCAGCACAAGGAUCUUGCAAAUUUCAAUUCCCAAUUAACAAGUGUCUCUGUGUCUUUCCAUGUUAAUAGACUACAAUAUUUUAAUGCUUAAUAUUAUGCGUUUAAUUCAUAUAAAAUUAGUCUGUAUCACUCCAUGAGUGAGCUUAUGACAUAUACCAGUUAUGAUUAUGUUGGUUUCUUAUAAUAUUAUAAACUUUUAUUCUCUUGCCCA